rnacentral:misc_RNA from 1 species
CUGCAACUUAACUAAUAUGCAUUGAACAAGAACAAGGUUCUCUGUCACACUUAAAAGAGGAUUUAAUUUACAACAAUUAGGCACGCACCUGUAUCUAAUUAAGAAAGUAAUUAACUUAACUAAAACUAUUUCUACAUGGAAAUUAUUCUGUAUAAUCAAAGUAUUCCAAUUCCAAAACAUCAUCAUCAUCAAAGUGAUUAUCCACUGAUGUCACAAUCAUGUCAAGGUCCAAACUGCGAUGGGUAGUAGUGCUAGUGGUGCAAGACGAGUUAACCCCAGAAAUCACAUCCGCUGGAUCCAAAGUUGACAAAUGAUCUUCAGGAGAGAGAAGAUAAUCGGAGGAAGAUGACUGGUUAUGGGUAAGAUGAUGAUCAUGAUCAUUUGGCAAUUCGUUAUUGUUCUCCUGUUUUACUGACUGGAAGGAUGAGAAAAAAGGGGUAUCUUGUUUGUUUGUGAGGUGGUGGUGGCGGCCAUUGCCAAAGCUUAGUAGCAUAGAAGAAUCGGUAGCAUCAGGAGCAUCCAAGAAAAGGUGAGAAGCCUUGAGCAAGUUCUUGCAUGUAUGGUGGCCAUAGUAGGUUGUUCGGUACAUAGGAGGUUCCUCUUCAGUUCUUUGAACUUGCUUCGUUGCUUGGCAACCCUGUUCAAAUUUGUGAGUGCACCUAAAGUAGUUCCUGCCAAUUGCCAAUCAAAACAAAUGCCAUUAGAUAAUUACCAUCACAAAAAUAAAAUAAUUAAGUGAAUAUAUAUAUAUAAUAUCUCAACAAUUGAAAUGAUAUAUACCGUGGAUAUUUAGCAUUCAGGAUCACUUUCUGUCCAUAUUUUCUCCAUGCAUGGCCGUCAUCCACUAGUUCAGGACUGUUUUUUAUCCAUGAGUGGGAAGUCCUUCUGCUAGUUGUAAAAUUGAAUUUUCAUUUCAAUUGUCAAGAAAAUGCUUAUGCAUAUACAAACAUAAUGGUAUACAACUUCAGCUUUGGGUUGGAAUUGUCUAUUCCAUUUGUGAUUUUUUUUUUUGGGGGGGGGUGGGGUAUUUACAAGAAGUAUUUUUUAUGUUAAUUCUUACAUAUUGAGGGUAAAACUAAAAUAAUUAUCAAUUUAUAAUUAUUAUUUUAACGAGUAAAUUUUUAAUUAAAUGUAUGCGUGUAUACUAUGUGAAAAAUUGAAAUUAUGAUCACUCAAUUGCAAUAUAAUAUAAUAAUUAAUAAGAUGAGAAAAUAAUUUGGAUUAAAUCUGCUGAUUAGAAUAGCUCAAACCUAUUAUUUAAAAAAAAAUUAUUAAAAUCAUGAUUUUUAAUCAUAUUUUCAUUGUAAAUCUCAUGAGCUAGAUUAUUGAAUCUGAAAUGGUGGUAGCUAUGUAAUCUAUGAAUGAUAUAUAAACAAUAUUAGUAUAUUACCUCCUCUUAUAGCAUCCUCUCCGAUCCUUCCUCGUGGAAGUACUUUUGCUACUCUCGCCGGAAUCUUCAGAUUUCCGGCCAUCCCAACAAGGCGAACCUACGUGAGUACUCGCCGGAAAUUGUGAGACCUCAUCAGUCUCAGCUCUAUUCAAUAUAGAAAGAGUACUCG